rnacentral:rRNA from 1 species
GAUGAACGCUAGCGAUAGGCUUAACACAUGCAAGUCGAGGGGCAGCAUGGUCUUAGCUUGCUAAGACUGAUGGCGACCGGCGCACGGGUGCGUAACGCGUAUGCAACUUGCCUCACAGAGGGGGAUAACCCGUCGAAAGACGGACUAAUACCGCGUACACUCCAUCUUGGGCAUCCAAGGUAGAGGAAAUGAAAUUCGCUGUGAGAUAGGCAUGCGUCCCAUUAGCUAGUUGGUGAGGUAACGGCUCACCAAGGCGACGAUGGGUAGGGGAACUGAGAGGUGGAACCCCCACACUGGUACUGAGACACGGACCAGACUCCUACGGGAGGCAGCAGUGAGGAAUAUUGGUCAAUGGGCGAGAGCCUGAACCAGCCAAGUCGCGUGAAGGAUGACUGUCUUAUGGAUUGUAAACUUCUUUUAUACGGGAAUAACAAGAGUCACGUGUGACUCCCUGCAUGUACCGUAUGAAUAAGCAUCGGCUAACUCCGUG